UCCGGUGACUAUAGCAAAGAGGAAACACCCGAUCCCAUCCCGAACUCGGAAGUUAAGCUUUUUAGCGCCGAUGGUACUGCAUAUAUUUAAUGUGGGAGAGUAGGUCGUUGCCGGUA
rnacentral:rRNA from 1 species